UAAAGCAUCUUUACGUAUAGCUUAGUUUGUCGAUAUGAGGCAUAAUGCCCUACAACGUAGCGGUGUCUUAUGAUUGAGAAGUGUUUUUAAACUUAAAAAGAAACUUUUCAAUCAUGCGACACUUUAAUCGCUAUCCCAAUUUUAUUAGGGAAUGGGACUCUUCACCGAGGUUGUAAAAUGAGACAAACGAUUUUAGCUGUAU
rfam:Acinetobacter sp. RIFCSPHIGHO2_12_41_5 rifcsphigho2_12_sub10_scaffold_5241, whole genome shotgun sequence.